UACAGGGGGUGCAAACGUUGCUCGGAAUCAUUGGGCGUAAAGCGCACGUAGGCGGUCUGUUAUGUCGGAUGUGAAAGCCCUUGGCUCAACUGAGGAAGUGCAUCCGAAACUGGCAGGCUAGAGUACUAAAGAGGAUCGCGGAAUUCCCGGUGUAGAGGUGAAAUUCGUAGAUAUCGGGAGGAACACCAAUUGCGAAGGCAGCUCGCUGGGACGUUACUGACGCUGAGACGCGAAAGCGUGGGGAGCAAACAGG
rnacentral:rRNA from 1 species